ACCCGUUUAGUCUAGUGGUUAAGGCACCAGGCUAGAAACCAGAGACUGUGAGUUCUAGUCUCAUCUUAGGUA
rnacentral:tRNA from 1 species